UUCCUUUUCUCGGCCUUUAGGCUAAGAUCAAGUGUAGUAUAUGUUCUUAUCGGUUUAAUAUCUGAUGCGUAAGUUAUUGGUCCACAUAUCUUAUUAAAUUUAUUAUUUGAGGGGGAGUGUCCAUCACAGUAGCUUGCUGCUGGGGCUCUCGCGAGUCGCCCAAGUGUUGUAUUGGUGCUUGGGCCUGGCUCAUCCAAC